GUUGACAAUGAGGAUAACAGGUACACCGGCUGUUCAGGGUUGCGUGGCCAUGCGAUGAUGUCCCUGUAAAUCACAGGGCACAAAGCUGGACGCGUGGCAAGGGCUCCAUCGGAUUGGCCACUUACGUUUGCUCUAAGACGUACCUUGUAAGAAACAGAGGCUGCGAUCAGCCUAUGCCAUAGGAUGACUCCCCAAGAAAGACAAAGCCUGUACCUCCCUGAGCAGCUGUGGAUUAAGAGAUGUGAUGAUGGUGGGGCUAGAGAUACGGCUCAAAGGUGAAAAGACUUGUAUUCGGCUCCCAACAUCCCCUUCAAGGUCCCAAGCAGCUCUGUACAGGGAAGAUGCACAUCUGCCUUCUGUGAGCUCUAUGUGUCCUCUGCGUUCACUGAGCUGAGACCCUGAGGACCAGGGAGGCAAAUGGAGGCCAGACCAAGAUCACAGCAACCCUUUGGUUUCCCAGGACCCACUGUGGGAAGCCUGAGCCAUCUUCGGGCAGAGGCAGAAGAGGUUCCUGUAAUCCUGCCUCUUGACUUUAGUAUUGUCGAUCCUGUGAUUUGCUGAUCCAAGACUUUCCACUCAAGUUUAAUCAGCAAACAUGUGCCAAGUAGAAAGUGCUAGAAAUGAUUGGAAGAAAUCCUCUCCUUUGGGAAUAUUUUAGUCUUCUAGGACUGAGAGACAAAAAUGCCAAUGUAAAUUACACACAUACACACACACACACACACACACACACACACACACACACACACACAUACACACACACACACACACACACACACACACACACACACACCUUUUUAGAGUGGCUUACAGACUUGUGGUUCAGCUAGUUCAACAAUAGUAGUCUAUGAAUGAAAGGUCCAGGAAUCCAGUAGUUGUUCAGGCCACGAGAAUGGAUGACUCGAAUGGCCUUCAGAAUCUUCCAGAAUAACAAAGAAAUAGGCCCCAGUGCCAAUGAAGGAAUGGACUUUCAGGCAAGGUGAGAGCAAGCAGGCAGAGACAGAGAGAGAGAACUUCCUUAUUCUGUGUUCAUUAUAUAGGCUUCCAGCAGAAGGUGUGUCCCAGAUUAAAGGUGUAUCUUCCUACCUCAUGAGAUCCAGAACAAAAAAUGGGUCUCCCCACUUCAAGUGACAAUUAAGAAAUAAUACCUCACCGAGGUACCCAGCUGCCUGGGUUUAGUUAAUUCCAUAUGUAGUCAAGUUGACAACCAAGCAUAGCCAUCACAAUGAUCAUGAAAGGAUCGACUUGCGGACCCUCCCUACAAUGGAACAUAGGCCCAGCAGGAAAGGACACGUCAACUGAGAACAUGGAAGUUUUACAGACAUGGAACAAUCUUGCGCGCGCUCGACUGGCCAGGAAGAACGACGCUGCAACAGGAUCCUUCUGCACACGUUUAUUGGGAGAGCUUGAUUGUAGAGGCGAAAAGACUUCGAGCCCAGAACUGGUGGUGCUUUUAUAGGCCUAGGAGGGGCGUGUCUCACACCCGGAUUGGUUAUGCACUAAGCCUCAUUUGCAUGUUCCUCAUCUGAUUGGCUACUCUCUCUCAGUACCUUACAGAACCUCAUUAUCAUACCUCAU
rnacentral:lncRNA from 1 species